UCCUUGCUCUUCAGGGUGGAGGCCAAGGCUGUUGAGUGGAAGAACUGACCAGAGAAAGAUGUGGCUUGUAGUUCAUGAGUUGAGCAGAGCGGUGAACGGCGUGGCUGGAAGGAGUGGCUGGCUGGCUGACAGCUGGUUGUGGUGAGCGGUGAGGCUGAGGGUGAACCAGGGGCACGAGGAGACUGAGGUCAUGAGGCACAGAGAGAGACAAGGAUUGGCAAGACUUCACAAAAACACGAGGAGAAAACUAGUUGGCUGUGGCGCCACUGCUGUGGAGGCAGACUGAACAAUCUGGCGAAGACUGGAGAGUUGAGCUGGGGUUGAAAUACAGCGGUGGCCUGAUGGAUGAAUGGGCCGGGAAGACAGGUGGAAGCUGAAUUAGUGAGGAUGACUCCUGCUCCUGUCAUCUCUAAGCUCCUCACACAUCUUUACCUGCACAUGAGGAAAAUCACUCCUGUAGAAUGCAGUGGUUCAUCAGAACCUCUGGGGAUGUCCUGUGGAUUCUGUGGAUCCUGUGGGUUGCAGGGUGGAUCCUACCUAGACCAGGCUGAUCCUGGACCAUCCCACAGAUGCUCCAUCAGAUGUGGAUGUGGGGAGUGUGGAACCCAGAUGUUCAGAGGGAGAUGAUGCCACAUCUGGUCCAGCUGAUGGAAGGUCUUGAAGUUCUCUGACUGGCCUCGACUGAAGAUGGUCGUCUCACUGGAUUUAAGGUUCAGAUGCUCAGUAACAAACUCCACCAAUGAGCCAACAGGGAAGCUUUAGGUUUAUUAAAUGUUGCUAUGAAGGUAUCGCUGUUUUUCUUUGUGAAUGCAAUGUGCUCCAACUGAAACUUGAAGUAGAACUUAGAAGUAAAUCCUUCCAUCUGAAAGGAUUUAGUUGCAUUAAUAACCUCAUAACAUUCUAAUUUUUAUUCCAGUCUUGGUUGGAAAUAGAAUCUCUGUAUUGAUUCAGGUAAAGACUGAACUUCACAGCAUGUUGAAGCAAAACAACCAGAUGAAAACUGUGAUGGUGUUGGAUUGUCAGACCGUAAUGUUGCAGCUCAAAGCAGCUUUUCUAUCUCAGUUCAUUCUGACAUUCAGCUAUGAAUCAACACAGCAGAUGGUGAUCCAUGCUGUGGAAGUCUCACAUCUCCUGAUUUAAUGGAGCUGCUUUGCACUUUUUACACUGUUUAUUCACCAACACUUUAUUUAAUAAAAGUCCCAUCUAGUUUUCAUGAGGAAUGUGAUGUUUUAAUUUCUCUGUGAAUAACUGCAGUCUAAUGCAACAGCUGGAAUUGUAACAUCUGUCCUGAUAUUGAUCAUGAAGUAUUGAUCAGAAUACUUAUGGUCAGCAUUCAUCCCUGAAGUUUUACAUUAAAAUCUUUACUUGUGUUGUGAACUUUGGUAAGAAGCAGAAACGUUAGCGUUGCCAUGGAUACAUGAGUGUUAAAUUCUGUCCAUGUUUCCAUUUUGGGAAAUGCAGUCCAGUUCCAGAAUGUGGACGAAUUUAGUCUCACAAUCACAGACAACAAAUAUUAUCUGAAAGUCUGAUUAUUGUUGUUUAUCAGCACAAUACAAAAGAUUAAUGUUAGAAAUAUUCCAGUUAAGACUCUAGAAUAUCAUGAUUUAUGUAAAUUUACCUCAAUAAUAUGAAUGUUCAGGUUAAGAUUGUACAGUGAUAUUUAUUAUGUAAGUUUAGCUGAUUAAAGUUUGUGACUCUGCACUAAAAUACUAUUUAAAUUUACAUCAUUAUUAUAAUAUUUAGGGUUAGACCCUACAGUAUUGAAAUUAAGAAAUCAAAUAUUCUAUAAAAUGUAAAUAUACUGAACUCAUUUGGAUAUAUUUAAGUGGGACUCCACAAUAUUAUUUGACACAAAUCUAUCUAAAUCAAAAUUUUAAUAAUUUUCACAAUCCUCUGCUGUAUGUUCAAACCUGAGGCCUUAAAUAGAAACACACAAGUAUCUGUCUGAAGGAACUUCUGCAGAGUCCUGGUUCCAGAACAUGAUGAUAGAAUUAUAGACAAACUUUAACAAAAGCUGCCUGAGAGUUUACAGGUUUUUAUGUUGGAUUUCUUGAGUAAUUUAAUGAGCGUUAUCAGCAAUAAUCAAGUGUUCAUUUGAUGAACUUCAUUUCCUAAAACAUCCAGAAUUGGAACUCAUAUCUUUGGCAGCUGUAAAGUUUCUGCUCCUUCAAAGUUCACAACACAGUGAAUGAAUUCCUAAAACACUCUCAAUGCUGGAGAGCGUUUGUGAUGCUGAAGCAGUGACCAGUUUUUCUGUUUCUUCUCUGGAGAUGCACAAUGAGGGACGUCUGCAGAGACUGAGAAAGAGUCUCACUGCAUCCUUACAUGAGGAAAAAGACUUUAUUGAAGACUACAAUGAGAAAAACUAUCAGACAGCAGACGGCUGCAUUCAAGUCUGUAGCUGCUGAAUUCAUGGAUGAAUCAUCUGGCACUAGAGAGGAAGACCAUCAAACAUCCACGUCAGCUGAUGGAGGUCCAAGAGUCUCACCGAACAACCAACCUACAGAGUGAAGGCCUCAAAUCUGAUUGGACGGCCUCCUAGUCAGCCACGUGUGAACAAAUGCCUCUAAGUUGAUUUGUUUUCUAAAAUAAAUCUAGUUUGAGUCCUAAUCUAUGCCUGUGUGUUUGCUUCUUUACACUGCUGUUAACAGUUUAGGCUGUUAGAUUGUUCCAGAUAAGACAAGUACAAGAUUCUUCAGAACCGUUCUACCACGAGCCUGACAGGAAGAACUCCAACAGCUACUGAAUGUUCCUGUGGUUCCCUCAAGGCUACAGGAGGAGUCCUACAAGGAUGAGCCGGUCCAGCCAGUGAGAGACCUGACCGUGAACACCAUUGACACCCACCCGAGGGAGAGGCUGCCUAAUAUCUCAAGGCUGCUUGGUCGUGGUCUUUCUGGUCCUGCUCCAGAACGCCUUCAUCAACUACGUCUUCUUUUGAAGAGGCCCUCAGAUGCUGCAAUCGCUGACCUUAAGGAGGAAUUGCUACUUUCACUCUGUAACGAGACGGUGGUUAUUUUAAAGACUCAGCUCCUGGUGGCUUUGAGUGAAAGUUUAACACCCAUCAAAACGGAACUACAGACAGUUAAAUCUGA